CGACGCCGCGUGAGGGAAGAAGGUCUUUGGAUCGUAAACCUCUUUUGCCAGGGAAGAUGAUGACGGUACCUGGCGAAUAAGCCCCGGCUAACUACGUGC
rnacentral:rRNA from 1 species